GUUUGACUGGGGCGGUAGAUCUCUGAAAGAAUAUCGGACGGGUCUUGAGGCCUGCUUGGACGGACAGAAACCAAACAGAUAGAAAAAGGGCAAAUGCUGACUUGAUCUCGGUGUUCAGUACACCCAGGGACGGCAAAAGCUCGGCCUAUCGAUCCUUUUGGUUUAAAGAUUUUUUAACAAGAGGUGGCAGAAAAGUUACCAUAGGGAUCACUGGCUUGGUGGCGGGCCAAGCGUUCAUAGCGACGUCGCUUUUUGAUCCUUCGAUGUCAGAUCUUCCUAUCAUUGUGAAGCAAAAUUCACCAAGCCCUGGAUUGUUCACCCAUGCAAGGGAACGUGAGCUGGGUUUAGACCGUCGUGAGACAGGUUAGUUUUACCCUACUAAUGACAAAACGUUGUUGCGACAGCAUUCCUGCGUAGUACGAGAGGAACCGCAGGUACGGACCAAUGGCACAAUACUUGUUCGAGCGAACAGUGGUAUGACGCUACGUCCGUUGGAUUAUGCCUGAACGCCUCUAAGGUCGUAUCCGUGCUGGACUGCAAUGAUAAAUAAGGGGCAAUUUGCAUUGUAUGGCUUCUAAACCAUUUAAAGUUUAUAAUUUAUUUUAUAAACGACAAUGGAUGUGAUGCCAAUGUAAUUUGUAACAUAGUAAAUUAGGAGGAUCUUCGAUCACCUGAUGCCGCGCUAGUUACAUAUAAAAGCAUUAUUUAAUACAAUGACAAAGCCUAGAAUCAAUUGUAAACGACUUUUGUAACAGGCAAGGUGUUGUAAGUGGUUGAGCAGCUGCCAUACUGCGAUCCACUGAAGCUUAUCCUUUGCUUGAUGAUUCGA
rnacentral:ncRNA from 1 species